rnacentral:lncRNA from 10 species
UGCCUCAGCCUCCCAAGUGUAGCUGGGACUACAGGCACACGCCACCAUGCCCAGCUAAUUUUUGUUUUUUUUAAUGUAGAGAUAAGAGUCUCACUAUGUUGCCCAGGUUGAUCUCAAACUCCUGGUCUCAAGAGAUCCUCCCACCUCAGCCUCCCAGAGUCAGAACCCAGAUCCUGGAACUCUUCUUUUCUUCUUCUAUACCACUGCUUCCUUGCAGAUACCAGGUUUCGCCAUGUUGACCAGGCUGGUCUCAAACUCCCAACCUCAAGUGAUCCACCUGCCUUGGCCUCCCAGAGUGCUGGGAUUACAGGUGUGAGCCACCAUGCCCGGCCUAAAAGAUAAGAGAUCAAGAUAUAUACAAAUUAGUCUUUGAAAGAUCUUUCACCUUGUUCAAAGUUAAGAUCCUGUGAACACCAGAAUUGUUCCAUGGCCUCUUCACUAUUGAUUGCAACAGUAUCAUUUACCUGAAGUUACACAGUGACCACAAAAACCAUGUCCAGGACACCAAAUUUCUACUGCGAACUCUAGGUCCUCACGAGCCUUUCUCUGCGAGUCCAAAAUUCAGCCACAUUUCCUAAGAGGCACCUGUACUUGUCUAUUUCAAUGCAGCCAGAAGCUGACAACGGCCCAGGAACCAGGACUGCUUUCAGGAGGCGCUCAGAAGGGCAGCAAAGUACCCUCUCAACAUUAGUAAAAUGAAACAAAAGUGUCA